rnacentral:rRNA from 1 species
GAUGAACGCUGGCGGCGUGCCUAAUACAUGCAAGUCGAGCGAACAGACGAGGAGCUUGCUCCUCUGACGUUAGCGGCGGACGGGUGUGUAACACGUGGAUAACCUACCUAUAAGACUGGGAUAACUUCGGGAAACCGGACCUAAUACCGGAUAAUAUAUUGAACCGCAUGGUUCAAUAGUGAAAGACGGUUUUGCUGUCACUUAUAGAUUGAUCCGCGCCGCAUUAGCUAGUUGGUAAGGUAACGGCUUACCAAGGCAACGAUGCGUAGCCGACCUGAGAGGAUGAUCGGCCCCACUGGAACUGAGACACGGUCCAGACUCCUACGGGAGGCAGCAGUAGGGAAUCUUCCGCAAUGGGCGAAAGCCUGACGGAGCAACGCCGCGUGAGUGAUGAAGGUCUUCGGAUCGUAAAGCUCUGUUAUUAGGGAAGAAAAAAUGUGUAAGUACCUAUGCACGUCUUGACGGUACCCAAUCAGAAAGCCACGGCUAACUUCGUG